rnacentral:rRNA from 1 species
ACUCCUACGGGAGGCAGCAGUAGGGAGUCUUCCGCAAUGGACAAAAUUCUGACCGAUCAACGCCGCGUGAGUGAUGAAGGUAUUCUGGUCGUAAAACUCUGUUGUCAGGUAAGAACAAGUACUGGAGUAACUGCCGGUACCUGACGGUACAUAGAAUAAGCACCGGCUAACUCUGUGCCAGCAGCCGCGGUAAU